GAUCUUAUCUUGCUUCCCUUUCCACGAUUUUGUUUUCCGUUGUCCCAUUUAACUCUGGUUUCGAUAAUGGGUGAAUCAAGAUCACACAGAAAGUAUGGUAAUUAAUAAAAUUAAAUUAAUUAUUAAUUUAAAUUAAAUAGCAAGAGCUAUGGUUCAAAGCGUGUAAAUCCUCAUCCGGUUCGUUUCCUGUUCUUGUUUUGUCCAGCUUGGCAGCAGACUGAACAGUGUGUUCAAAAGUCCCGGUCACCCCCGAAGUGGAAGAAAUGUGCGAGGAGCGGAUUGCCGGCUGGUCGGAGACAUUGGUUCACAUCUAUGAAAAGUAUUACGAGGUAAAAAAGAUGGAAAGAUCGUAUUUAUGGUGGCAAAAACAGAUAGCCCAGCGCAUCCUGCCGGCCAACCUGCCGACGAAAUUCCGGGCACUGCUUGAUGUUCCUGAUUUUCCCUUUCCGGAAUACUUGUCUGAAGAAAAGAAAGAGCGGCACGAAAGUCUUAAAUGGGGAUUUUUAAUGGAUGUUAUUACCAGCCAUUGCGACAAUAUUCAGGCGGCACUGAAAGCUCUUGCGGCCGAAGAAGUGAAUAUUACAAGCGCGGCAGAAAAGCACUUGCGUCGUGGGGAAAUACUGGAAUUGAAAAUUAAAUGUCAAAAACUUGCUAUGUUCCCUUUUUAGAAUUGAUGACCUCAAGCGAAAGAACAGGUACAAAAAAAUGGAUCGUUGAAUACUGCUCCGAUGCUAGCCGUUUAAAUUUUCUUAAUCAUUUUCGUUUUGUACAGACGUCUGAAUUACGAGUCCAUUAAAUAAGCAGUACCAUACCGGCUUUGCGUAAUACUUUUCUGUGCUCCGUUGUAUUUCUUAAUGACCCAAAAAUUGAUAUUAAACAU